rnacentral:rRNA from 1 species
UGCCAGCCGCCGCGGUAAUACGGAGAGGGCAAGCGUUGUUCGGAAUCACUGGGCAUAAAGCGCACGUAGGCGGAUUGGAAAGUCAGUUGUGAAAGCCCGGGGCUCAACCCCGGAAUUGCUUCUGAAACUUCCAGUCUUGAGGGUGAGAGGGGAGAGUGGAACUUCUGGUGGAGCGGUGAAAUGCGUAGAGAUCAGAAGGAACACCGGUGGCGAAGGCGGCUUUCUGGACCGAUACUGACGCUGAGACGCGAAAGCGUGGGGAGCAAACAGGAUUAGAUA